GCUCAGGAUUCAUGAUGUUGACAGUGUGGAUUGGGCUGCUGGUGUGUGUGUGUGUCUGGGUGCUAAUGCGCAACCGUGGGGCAAGGCGCCUGGUCUGAAACUUCUUCAGCAUGAUGAAAAAGAUGAUGCGGUUAAUGAAGAGAUUUCAUUUGCAGAUCGAGAUGCAGAAAGUGAAGAUCAACUGCAUAGUGACGUCUCGAAUCGCCCACACGGUCAUGACGUCCACAGCUCUGAACAAGGCCAACAUUUCACAGGAAUUCUACUUUGAGGUGGAGUUGCCCAAGACGGCCUUCAUCACCAACUUCAGCAUGGAGAUUGAAACAGCUGGUCCAGCACUUUGAGAUUGUUGCUAGCAUCUAUGAGCCCCAGGGCAUCACAAAUCUGGGCACUAAUUUCACGUUCAUCACCAACAACCUGCAACCUCUAGUGAAGAAUGAAGUCACUGAUAAAAUAGGAAAUGCCCAGACUGUGAUGGUAUUCUGAUAGACGGGGAUUUCACCAUCACAUACGAUGUCAACCGUGAACAGAAACUGGGUGAUAUUCAGAUCGUGAACAGAUACUUUGUGCUCUUCUUUGUCCCACAUGAUUUGCAACAAUUGCCAAAGAAUGUAAUGUUUGUCAUUGACAGGAGCGGCUCCAUGACGGGAAGAAAAAAGUAAGCUGAACACAGAUAGCGGUUUGAUGUAAAACUCAACAGCAAUGCAGGAUUAUUUAAGAUUUGUUAUUGUUGCCUUAUUAUUUUUGAACUAUGGACAGUUCUGUUGUCAUUGUUGUUGUUGUUGUCGUUGUUGCUUGUAGACUUAAGAGGCACUCUUAACCAUUCUAGAUGACCUCUAUGAGGAAGACCACAUUGGCCUGGUCAUAUUUGAUGAUGAGAUUGAAUCAUGGAGACCAUCUAUGUAACAGUACAAGGCAGAUUGUUGCGAAUCCAUAACCAAAUUUUUAUUAAACCUGAAAGACAAACACUUGUACAAAACAAAACUGAUAAAUCACAAAGCAAAACUCAGAAACCAGAAACGGGAAGCAAAAGUCCAUACACAAUAAUCCACAAAGAGAGUAAUCCAAUGGAUGGCUCGGUAAGGUUUGGGGAACAAUACAUUGCGUUGAAGCGUUGUUUGUAUGCUGUUUUUAAAGAGACAAACCAGGAAGUGUUCUUCGCUGGUGCAUUACAAUUCAGGGGAGGAUUACAAUCAUUGAGCAAAGCUGUAAACGAAAAUAUACAAGAAGCAAGACACGGUAAAUGUUAAAGUAUAAAAGUAUGAUGAUGGUCCUGGAAAUAUUGAUCAUUGAACUAUUGGUAUGUCUGGUCCACAGGAUUAAUGUUUAGUAAUCUAUUAAGGCGCAUCAUGACUUGACAUGAUCUUGUACUUUUGUAAAUGUUUAAAGUCAAAUUUAUAUGAAGCAGCUCUAAAACAUCAUUUACUCACAUCCUCUGUCUUAAAUUAAAUAACACAAAAAACACAAUUUAUUACAUUACCAUGAAACGGAAGGUGAAAGUAUUCAGUUUUGAAGACACUGACACUGAAGACACUCAGACACUGACACUGUUGCUAUAGAAACAUUAGCAUAUUAGAAUGAGAGUUCAACAAGAAUUCAACACUGCAGCAUUUGAUUGAAUUUGCUACAGAUCUGUUUGUUUGAAAAGCCGUUGUGACCUGGAAUUAGAUGUACGCUGAAACAAGUCAAUUCCCAUGUAGUAGAAGAAAAGAAAAUGCUUCUCAUUCCCAUCAGGGCCACAUACCACCAUGAUGACAUGAUGGCAAUGAUGUCAUCCAACUCUCCCUGCUAGAACACAGCCACCUGAUAAGACCAUAUCUCUAGUAAGAUAUGGCCCAAGAUGUUGGUCUAAAAUUGAAAGUCUUAUAUCAGCUACAUUAUUUUUGGCCCACAAUAGUGUAGUCAUUGGCAUCACUAUGACCAUAUAUUUGGUUUGAUGUUCUACAACACCAAAAUUCUUUCCUUCCAUGCAGAUGAGACAAAUACAUCUGUGAUCCAAGACAAUGUCCAUAAUGCUACUGGAAAAAACAUUUGCCUCUUCUGUUUGCGCUUUGGCUAUGAUGUAUACUACAGCUUUCUGGACACGAUGGCCCACCAGAACGAUGGUUCGGAGGAUCUACGAAGCCUCAGAUGCUGCACUGCAAUUGCAGGUUCUUUUAAGUAGAUUGAUUUGUUGUGUGUUCAAAUGUCAGCUCAUUCGCAGAACAACCAAAGACAGAACUGUGACCUUUCAUUCCAAUGGGUUUUUAUGGAGAGGUGGCAAUUCCACUGCUCUUAGAAGUGAAUCUGCAUUAUCCAGACAGCAUGGAGAAUUCCGUGACUACCAACCAUUUCAAUCAAUUCUUUAGUGGCUUUGAGAUUGUAGUCGCUGGCCGACUAAACGACUCUCAGCAAAACACAUUUCUUGUUGAGGUGUCAGCUCAAAUGGUGAGAGAAUCCGAAAUAAAAAUGGAAAAGAAAUGUAUAUCUGAUAUUGAAAGAAUUUAAUUGCAUUGAUGUAUUUUUGUUUGAAUUUAGCUAGAGGAGGCUUUUGUAGUCCAGGGCGAGGCCAAUGCUGGGGAAUGGGUGGUGACAUUCCCUGAGCAAGAAAACAUCUUUGGAGACUUCACUGAACGUCUCUGGGCAUAUUUGACCAUCCAACAACUCUUGAACAAACAGUACAUAUGAUAUCUCGAGUAUUAUUUUUCCUAAUAUCAUCUCGGGGAGUUUUUCCUGCACAUUGUCA